rnacentral:misc_RNA from 1 species
CAACCCUCGAGCCCCUCCGGGGGGUCGGCGUUGGGGAUCGGCCCUCCCUCGCGGUGGGCCGUCCCCGAAAUACAGUGGCGGUCUCGCCGCAGCCUCUCCUGCGCAGUAGUUUGCCCGCUCGCACCGGGAGCGCGGCGCGUCCACGGCCGUUAAACACCCAACUUUCUGAAA